GAUGAACGCUAGCUACAGGCUUAACACAUGCAAGUCGAGGGGUAACGAGAGGAAAGCUUGCUUUCCUUGUCGACGACCGGCGCACGGGUGAGUAACGCGUAUCCAACCUGCCCCCAACUAGGGAAUAACCUUGCGAAAGUAAGACUAAUACCCUAUAAUUUCCUCAGAUGUCAUCUGACGAGGAAUAAAGAUUUAUCGGUUGUGGAUGGGGAUGCGUCUGAUUAGCUUGUUGGCGGGGUAACGGCCCACCAAGGCAACGAUCAGUAGGGGUUCUGAGAGGAAGGUCCCCCACAUUGGAACUGAGACACGGUCCAAACUCCUACGGGAGGCAGCAGUGAGGAAUAUUGGUCAAUGGGCGGAAGCCUGAACCAGCCAAGUAGCGUGCAGGAUGACGGCCCUAUGGGUUGUAAACUGCUUUUAUACAGGAAUAAAGUUAGCCACGUGUGGUUAUUUGUAGGUACUGUACGAAUAAGCACCGGCUAACUACGUGCCAGCAGCCGCAGUAA
rnacentral:rRNA from 1 species